UGAAAAAUUUUUAUCUUUCACUUUCCACCCCCAAUUCGUUCUGCUAACCGCAUCACAAAGCACUAGUUGCGGAACUCUGCCAUCAGUGUGCCGAGGAAGAUGACCUUGAACUUCUGCAAUCUUGUCGCCAUCAUCUGUCGCCGUCCGUCCUCCUCUGCAAUCGAAGAGAAACUAUAUGAUUUUGCAAGCUACCCUUCUCAGGAGCCUGAUGAAAUGGUUUUUGUUCCCUCUCCUAUAGAGUCUGAUGAACAUUUUGUUCAGGAACCACUUUGAAUGAUUA